GAGAAAGAAUAUGACAAAAUAAAAAUAAAUAUGAAUUUCAUUUGAUUAGUUGUCUCGAUGCAUGGCUUUUGAAGUAUACGAAAUGUAAAAGCUAUUGUGUUUGGAUUUCUAAGAUAUAGAAUAAUUUAUAAAUUUGUUUUACAAAUUAUUUGGUGUCACCAAAUUGGUGAUGAUACUAGCGAGCAUUUGAAAUCUAUGUAACUACCCUCCUCGCAGAUCCCUAUCAACAAGACCAACAAAAAGAAAAGAAAAAAUGAAUUACUAUACGAACACAAAGACUACAAUUAAGACCCGACCGAAAUAUUAAAUUGAGUAUAAAUGCUUUGAUAGUUUGUUGGCCCUAUAAGUCUCUCUUUAUCUAUGCAUAGAGUUUUAAUUUCUUUUUGGUAAGAUAUGUAGAGUUUUAGUUAGUAAUUUAUUACACCCAUAUAAGUUAUCAAGAGCAUCUCCUAGAGUACUUUUUUUCUUUUUUUCUUUUUUUCUUUUUUAAGAGUUUAUCUUUAGAUAUGUUGUAAUAAUUAUAAAGUCAAUAAAAGUCAAUGAUAUUUUAAAUGUCCCGCUUUCAUAAACUUUGACUUUUAUAGGGUUGUUUUUAGAAGCUUAUGUAAAAUAAGUAAACACUUUUUUUCCAUAAAAUAAAUCUUUUUAUGAAUUGAUGCUAGGAUAUAUCAUCACCUCAAAAAGCCACAUAGUUGGUGUUCAAGAUUUUUCGUGUGAUCCGACCAAGGGACUAAGAGAAGCAAAUAGUUGAAAGCACUUCAACUAAAAGUGUUUGGAUUCCUGUGGCUAAAUUAAGUUAUAUAAUUUAUGAAUGUUAAUAAACUUAUAAAAGUUAUGAAUAUUAAUAAAAUAAUUCUGAUUUGAAGAAUGUUUCACAAGUGUGCCUUUAUUUUGGUUCAUAUUAUUGAUGCAGUGAAGAAACGGAAAAGCCUAGAGAUUGAAGACAUGCCGUUGACAAGUUACCAUUACUCAAUAACUUGUGUUUUACUGAUGGCGCCCAUUAGGUUUUGCUUUUCUAGUUUAUUACAUAAUAGGUAGUUUUAUUUUUGUUAGAAGCAGCUAUUCCAAAAGAUGCCUUCUUUAUUUUCUCUAAGCUUCACAUAUGAAACAUCUUCUUCUUAACGAAGCAGACUUUUCUUGCUUUCAUUUCUGGUUUUCUGAAAGCUUGUAUGCUUUUUUAGAUCAAUGAAAUUGAGUCUUUGAAGUUUCAGAGAUGUUGCUCUGCUCUUGUUUUGAGUUUGACAUUUAUUCAUUUAGGUUUCCGAGUCAGUUAUGAUGGUGAAGAGUCUAAACUGUCAUCUCAGUAAGCAAUCUUAUUAGCAGUACCUAAUCUUUUAUAGAUAUUAUAAUUUGCAUUUCUUUUUUUUUCUUUUUUUUUUCUUUUUUUUAAUGAUUGUCGGACUGUUUCAAUAUUGGAAAGCAUUCUUCUCAUAUGCAUUAUUAUAAGGACAUUUAUAAGAUCUUCAAAAGUUCUGAGUUCCAAAUUUGAGCUGAGAGUAACAUAUACUUCGAAGAUGAAUCAGGUACAUAGUCCUCCAGUCACCUUUUUCUUCCCUUUUUGUUCGUAAAUUAAUACUUUAUAUGAUAAACCUGAUUUCUUACUUUUGCAUAUUUAAUGUAUUGUUGGGAUCUACAAAUUCUAGAUAUACCUGCAUACAUACUUUCUCUAAAUCCAAAAAAAAAAAAAAAAUGCCACUAUUUCGAUACAAGUAUUCUGUUCAUUCAGUAUUUCUUUCAACUAAUACAGAUAAAGAGGAGUGUAUAUAUAGUCAUUGCAAAGAUGAGAAAGGCAUAUUGACCAUCCACGAAGAUUGGCUUGCUUAGAUAGAGUUUCACUUGAAACUGUGCUAGUACAGCUACAUAGAAGUCAAUAAUCAAUCUUUUCAUACUUCUUAAAACAGAGCCACUCUGUUUUGCUUUUAUGACUACAUAAUACAUUUUCAAUAUUCUUUUAUCGUGAAAGAAUCUAAUGACUGAUAAAUUUAAAUUUGAACUUUUUUUCGUCCUCCCAUAUCAAAUGAAGUAUAAAUAGGCAUAGUCUCUUAUGAGAUUGUAAUGUAUCCCAUUGCGUAGUAACGCAUAUAUUUCCUUUGCCAUAGCUUCAAUACUCUGUUUUUAUGCCUCUGUUUUUUCAAUUUCAUUAUAUCCGAUUUCCUCCAAAUACAUUCAGCACUCCUUAUCAAAAUUAUUUCAAAUAUAACCCACCACAUAAUAUUAUUAGACUACAAGUCCUUUCUAGUAAUAGUUGCAAAAGUAAGAGGCUAAUAUAAGAUUUGUUAAAGGUUCCCAAUGUAGGUUUUUCCGAAGUCCAAUAGAAAUUAAAACUGCCAUCUCUAAAAAAAAAAAGGCCAUUCUAAGCAUUUAUCAAAGACGUGACAGCAAACCAAAUGAGGAAUUAUUUUGUGUUUGAUGAUGUGAGAGAAACUUUGUUGAUAGAUUGUUGCAUUUUUACGUUCUUGAUGGUGGAUUCUACUUCAUGUCAUUCCUCUGGAUGCAUACUCAGUUUUAAGUUGAAUUACAUAGUACUGAUUUCCAAUCAGUUUUGGUAUUCUUUAGUCAGAAAGCUAUACACUAAUAAUUUCUCAUUUCUAUUAUUAUUAUAUUUUUACUGAAAAUUUGUAAAUCACAAAUGCUUAAGAAUUGGAUCAUGCUUACAAAACGUUACCGUACAGAAAUUAUUUAACUAGUCAGACAUCAUACUGGAAAAGUGGUAAUUAUCCAGUUUCAAGUAAGAAAGUCUCUCAAAAUCCUGUAUUAACGCGCUUCGGUGGUAACCUCCACCUAUAAAAAAUGACUUUUAUAGUUUGUUUAGAAUAGUGAAUAUCUUCCUUGUUGCAUUAUCUUAUCUGUACUUUCAUAAACAUAUGAAUUCCUAAUUCUGUUUCUGAGAGAGGAUAAAUGUGUUUACCAUAAUGUACAUUCUCAUUCUCAUUAUUAUUAUUAUUAUUAUUUAUUUAUUUUUUUUUUACUUUUUCUGUUUGCAGAAUGACAAAGCAAAAAACAUUUGUGAUUGUCUGAUAACAAUGGAAGGCGUCAGUAUGAAAUUGGAGGAAGCUUUUUGUUUGUUCCUUCUGGGUGAAGUGUGCUCCUCUUUCACUCCUACAAUUUCGGUAAUAAGGCUGAGGUGGUUGAAAAGGUUCAGCAGUUUGAGUUAAAUUCAAAUCCUGCUGUGCUAAAUUCAGUCCCAGGGAAGGAUGUUAAAGAUGCUUUUGGUUAAAAUCAAUUGUUGAAUGUCUGCUGAAAAUGACCAGGAAAAGUGGCUGAAGGAUGCUGUGCUCACUGUGUUUCUAGACACACGGGAUUGCCGUCCAUCCUUGAAAAUAGCUGGGAACAAACAAAAUUAAAGGAGCACCACAAACUGUGGCUACUAUAAAUCACAGACCAUUGUCCAAUACUACUUUGUCAGAGCGGAGGGAUUUUGGGAAAUCUCUUUCUCGUAUGAGCUCUUAUCCAAAUCUAGGUACAACUGUCAAGCAGCUAGCUCCAAUUGAUUUGCAAAGUUCAUUGAUUUUGGACAAAAAUAGCAACGGAAACAACAGUGGUGCACCAUCUGUUCAAGUGAAAACAAAUAUUCGCAUGCACCAUAAUAAAGUUUGGGAGAGGUUAACUUCCGUUGCAGUACUUGGAUGCAUUGUCCUUGCUACUGUUAAGUUACAAGGAUGAAUAUAAAUGAGUCUCUUUCUCGUAUGAGCUCUUAUCCAAAUCUAGGUACAACUGUCAAGCAGCUAGCUCCAAUUGAUUUGCAAAGUUCAUUGAUUUUGGACAAAAAUAGCAACGGAAACAACAGUGGUGCACCAUCUGUUCAAGUGAAAACAAAUAUUCGCAUGCACCAUAAUAAAGUUUGGGAGAGGUUAACUUCCGUUGCAGUACUUGGAUGCAUUGUCCUUGCUACUGUUAAGUUACGAGGAUGAAUAUAAAUGAGAAGAGAAGUGCAUCUUGGGUCGCUAAUAAAUCUGAAGCAUAUCCAAGUUCCGUUGCAUGGCCACCAGAUUACACGGUGGAUAACAAUGUAGUUCCUGCUUACAUCAAUGGAAAUGGAAUGGCUGGCAGAUUCAAGAAGCUCUUUACAAUAGUUACUAAGAAGUUCAAAAAAUUCUCUGAUGCUGGAGAUGCACAAGCGUGCCGUGCUGCUGGUCUCUCAUCUAUGAUGGCCGUUUCAAGAAGGCUGAUGCGUAUGGAAGAAGCUGAAGCACUCGUUAAGCAAUGGCAAACAAUUAAAGCUGAAGUUCUGGGUCCUAGCCAUGAGGUUCAUAGCCUAUCUGAAAUCCUUGAUGAGUCAAUGCUUGCUCAGGUAAUUUUAUUCUUUUAUGUAUCCUAUAAAAUUGAUCUUUGAAAUUAUUAAUAUGAAUGUUAAGUAGCUGAUGAAUUAUUUGAUAA